rnacentral:rRNA from 1 species
GACGAACGCUGGCGGCGUGCUUAACACAUGCAAGUCGAACGGAAAGGCCCUGCUUUUGUGGGGUGCUCGAGUGGCGAACGGGUGAGUAACACGUGAGUAUCCUGCCCUUGACUUUCGGAUAACUUCAGGAAACUGGGGCUAAUACCGGAUAGGAGCUCCUGCUGCAUGGUGGGGGUUGGAAAGUUUCGGCGGUUGGGGAUGUUCUCGCUGCUUAUCAGCUUGUUGGUGGGGUAGUUGCUUACCAAGGGUGUGACGGGUAGCCGGCCUGGGAGGGGGAACGGGGACAAUGGGACUGAGAUAGGGCCCAGAAUCGUACGGGAGGCAGCAGGGGGGAAUAUUGCACAAUGGGCGGAAGCCUGAGACAGCAACGUCGCGUGCGGGAUGACGGCCUUCGGGUUGUAAACCGCUUUGGCAUGUGACGAAGCGUGAGUGACGGUAAUGGGUAAAGAAGCACCGGCUAACUACGUG